AUCAGUGGCGAAGAUGAUGGUGAUUUAAGAGUGUCGUGCAGUGCUCGUGUGCAAUGGUAGAGGCAACCGUACGAGCGAUAGGCAUAGAGGACCGUAGAUGUACCAGCCAGGUGAGUUGGUUCUCGAAACUAUCACAGUCGCCGAGGGUUUAUAAUUCGUCGUAUAACCGAAUCUAUAAUUUCUCUCUCUAGCGUAAGUACAAUAAACAAUCGAUUGAUAUAAUAUUCAUUAUUUGAUAAAUUAUUACCAAAUGCGUGUGUUCUGAUUACUAUUGCGCAUGGUAGCUUUAAUUUCAAUCUGUCUGCCUCUCAUUUUGCUUGUAAUCGCGUACUGUUGUUAAACAGCUAUCGCAUCGUAAAAAUCUCUAGAUGAAAUUUCCACGAAAGGAAGAGUUUAAAAAGAGCAUUAAAGAUUAGCGCGUUAAUUAUCUAUUACUUGUCACACAGUCUAAUUUUACACCGUAAAGAUCAUUAAUUUGCAAAAGGAAUUGCAAACCUUUCUGGGCUUCGGUGAGCUUCCUUGUUCACGUAUUUAAUACCGUUCGAUCGAUUGCGAGGUCUUUUAUUUAAAGUGUUCCGCCACUCUCUAUCUCUUUAUUUUCCUGAUAAUUCCUCAUUAAUUCCGCUGAGGUUAUUCAUCUUUUAGUCUUCAUUUAUGCGAAAAGUUUGCACUACCUCUGAAUAUCAUUAUCCACAUAGCGCCCUUUUCUCUCGACUCCUCGGGCGAUUUGAUUCCAUUAUUGAAAAAGAACCGGUUCCAAAGGAAACUUCCUUGUAUAUUGUAAUCUAGCAAACUGUUCAGCAAGUGCAUAUAUAUAUGUGUGUGUGUGUGUGUGUAUUUUAUAUAACAAUAAUAAGAGCUUUUGCAAAAAUUCAAGUUUACCCAAUCAUAUAGCGUAUUUUGUUGUCGCAUGAAACCAUGUACUAGCGGAAUACGCUUGCUGUAAUAUGACAAUAUACGUGUAAAUUAAUCGAUCGCAGAUACUAAUACCUGCAAAUUUGCAUAAUCCGACACCCAAAUAACCAAGUAACCUAAUAUGCUGAUAAGCGUAAGCGGCAACCCCAAAAUUCUAUGCCCUGUAGUAAUAACACGUUGAAUGCUUAAACGCAUAUACGAAUACAUUAAUUAAAUGUUUAAUACAAAAAAGUUAAUUUUUUAAUUAUUUGUUAUAACUGAAUACGAAAGAAUACAAAUUUAAAAUGUUAAAUGACUUAAAAGAAUUAAUUGUUUAAUAUUGCAUCCGUUUAUUAUUUGCAAUUUAAAUAAUUUUGAAAUACAUUAAUCUCAUAUUGGCUCAAAAUUCUUUGACACUUAGUACUAUAAUGUUACGAAAUGAAAGAAACGAUUUUUUUUUAUUUAUUUUAAAUAUAGUUGAUUAUCGCGUUAAUGAAAUAUAAAACAGUUUUCAAUUAUCGUUGCGAAACAAAAGCGAGAACCAUUGAUUAUAUAAUGCGAAAUGUUAUCGCACGAGAUCAACUUGAGCGACAUGUCGAUGCUCCUUCGGUGUUCGAUCCGCUCUCAUCUUCGGCGCGAACAAAAUCUACCACCCCCUGAUUAUCCGUGAAAAUCUUCCACUCUCCCUCGCCGCUCGUUUCGCACCUACCCCUUUUCACCUUUACUCACCUCGGAUUAUCGAUUGCCCCGGGGCAUCGGUUCGUACAUGUGCAACGCACGUCGACACAAGCGCGCUUAAGGUAAUAGCUGUGAUUACGGAGGGAUGAUCCCAUCAGGGCUUACGAGACUUUUAACGAAACUUUUCGACCAUACGAAUUCCGGUAUGCCCGGAGGCGGCCGUACGUGCUAUAGAAACGUUAUUUCGGCCUUGUGACGUGACGCAACAAUAAAAUUACAAUUUAGUAAUAAAAUCACGAAUGUAAUAAACACUUUAUAGAUAAUGGCUCGCAGCGAAUGGUAAAAAUAAAUAACUUUUAAUAAAUUUUAUCGAUUCACUUUUCCAUUUCGUGCGUUUUACCAAUUUCGGUCAUUGAAAUUUGUAUUUAAUCAUUACGGUGGCGUUAGGAUUGUAUUCUCAUUUGCGUGCAAAUUUUGAUGAAAAAAGGAUAUGAUACAAUGAAAUUAUUUUACCGAACUCUUUUUCUAGAAUAAUGAAAUAUAAUUGUAUAAUUAACUAAAUAUAAUUUUUCACUUUACGUUAGUUAUAUUUAGUUAUUUAUAUUAUUUAAAAUUUUAUUUUAAAUUGUUUAUUUAUUGCGACAUUUAUUUCUUAGAAUUAAUGUUCAAAAAGAUUUUGAUAACGCCGAUUGUCAAUGACCAUUGUACUCUAUUGAAAAGUCAGGCGCGAUUACGGAACACAAAGCAAGUUAAAACAAACGGCUAAGAAGCAUUUGACUAAAAGCUCCGAACAGGUGUGAAAUCUGGCGGAAGCACGAGCAAUUGCACGACUGACGCGGAGGCGUUGUAAAGCGCAUACCGCGAUCCAUCACUCAUUAAGCGCAGCUGCGCUCACCAAUUUCCAUUGUCGUUGCACCUGCUCGUGCAUGUUUCGCAAAUAUGUCGACGCGUGUUUUCCAUCGUGUUGUUGGGACCAUCGCGGAAAACUCCGGGAAAUUCUAAAAAGAUACUCGGAAAGUCGAUUCAUUUUCGCGGCGAAAAGAAAAUAAAUAAAUGAAAAAA
rnacentral:lncRNA from 1 species